AACGCACGAGACCUGCGGACCUGCGGAAGGAUCAUUAAUGAGUUGCAAAACUCCCUAAACCAUUGUGAACCUACCUGUACCGUUCCUUCGGCGGGCGGCGUCAAGCCCUAACCCGUCUCCCUUUACGGGGGAUGGACCCGCCGGAGGCUCCUAAACUCUUAACUUUUGUUGGCAUCUCUGAGUAAAUCAAAAUAAGUCAAAACUUUCAACAACGGAUCUCU
rnacentral:misc_RNA from 1 species